CUACCAUGGCUUUCACGGGUAACGGAGGAUUAGGGUUCGAUUCCGGAGAGGGAGCCUGAGAAACGGCUACCACAUCUAAGGAAGGCAGCAGGCGCGUAAAUUACCCAAUUCUAAUUCAGAGAGGUAGUGACAAGAAAUAACGGGUCGGGACAACGUCCCGGGACUGCAAUGAGACGAAUCUACACACCUUAUCGAGCAACAAUUGGAGGGCAAGUCUGGUGCCAGCAGCCGCGGUAAUUCCAGCUCCAAUAGCGUAUAUUAAAGUUGUUACAGUUAAAAAGCUCGUCGUUGGAUUUCUGGUCGGGUGACCCGGCCCUCAAGCUGAGUGUGCAAGGCCGCCCGUCCAUCCUUCUGUCAACCCUUAAGAUUUUUACGAUCUUCUGGGGGCUCAGAUAUUUUACCUUGAGAAAAUUAGAGUGUUUCAGGCAGGCUAGCGCCGGAAUACAUUAGCAUGGAAUAAUGGAAUAGGACUUUUGCCUCUUCUGUUGGUCUGAGGGGUUCGAGUAAUGAUUAAUAGGGAUAGUUGGGGGCAUUAGUACUUAACUGUCAGAGGUGAAAUUCUCGGAUUUGUUAAAGACUAACUUAUGCGAAAGCAUUUGCCAAGGAUGUUUUCAUUAAUCAA
rnacentral:rRNA from 1 species